AAAAGUCAAACAGUUUAAGGAUUGGAUGAUUUUAAGCUUGGAGUUUAGAGACUGACUGACUUUGAGAAGGUUACUGAAUCCAGGAAGUUGCUGAUUGGCUUUCUGAUGACUAUUGAGGAAAGGUUGUAUGAGGGUAUGGCAGAGAUUAAUUCUUCUCAGUUAUCUAGUUCCUCCUCCUUUCAUUCUAGAAUUAGAACCCCUAUGGUUUAGCUGGCAGCAUGGUUACCCACUCUAGGUUUCAUCUGCUUCUGAUGAUAGGUAUGACUGUAUGCUUACGUUUGAGCCAGUUAUAUAUGAACAGAAGUGAAAUAUGCAAUUCUGGAUUGGCUUUUAAUGGUGCUUGUCCUGGAUUUCAUCUGCCCAUUCUCUUUCCUCUCCCAUUGACUGGAAAGCAGCAAACAGGAAUGGCAACAACUGUCUUGAACUCAAAUAGAAGCCCUGUCCUGAGGAUAUCAGCCCUGGAUGACCUUGUGGAGAAAACUAACUACUACUUGCUCUCCCCCCAGCCACCUGGGUAUCUCCAUGUUGUUUCAUGAAAGAGAAUACAUUUUUUGUUUGUUUGAGCCAUUGUAUUUUGGUAUCACUUUAUUACAACUGUUUAACCCAUACCCUAUAAAAUGCCAAAAUUUAGUACCUGAAAUGGGGUACUGCAUAAUAAAAAGCUGAAAUGCAUGGCAUUGGCUAAGUGGUUGGCUGACAUACAUUUAAAAAAAAAAAGUCAAAAAACCACUGACCCUUAAUUGUAUAGUGGUAAAAUAUUUGGUGAAACUGUCACCUCUGAUAAUUUUUAUAAGGCAUCAAUUUCUCUAUCCAGUCUACAUCUCCAGGGAAGUGGUUAGAAAGAAUCAGAUUGCUAAUACCAGUAGAGUCUGCUUGCUUCUUUAGCGGGAACUAUAAGGGGGCAUCAAAUAAAGGUGUUGAGAGCCACAGCUGAGUCAGAAUGACGCCUGGCAUAUUGCCAGAGGGAAUGGUUGAAAAGUGAUGCCAGCAACCAUUGAGAUGAUGAUUUGAGUUAAGCUGUAUAUAAUUGCUGUGAUGCUGGAUUGAUUGAGUUGUAUACGACUCUGGGAAUCUGAAUCUGAAUCUACUUUGGAGUUUCCCAUGGAGUUCUCCCCGGGGUUUGCAGAGAUUGGGCGCGGGGAGCCAGGUGAAAGGGGUGUGUUCCCGAGGAGUGUGUGUGCAGUGCCAGUGAGAGUUGGGGAAUAAAGAAUUGCUGUUUGAACCUACAACGCUUUGUGGCGGCUCGGUUAUUUGUGCCCAGCCAGACUGCGGUAUAAAGGGCCAGUUAGUUUGUAUUUAGAGUUCAAAG
rnacentral:lncRNA from 1 species